rnacentral:rRNA from 1 species
UUCGUAGGGGGCUAGCGUUGUCCGGAAUCAUUGGGCGUAAAGCGCGUGUAGGCGGUUCGGUAAGUCCGCUGUGAAAGUCGGGGGCUCAACCCUCGAAUGCCGGUGGAUACUGUCGGGCUAGAGUGCGGAAGAGGCGAGUGGAAUUCCUGGUGUAGCGGUGAAAUGCGCAGAUAUCAGGAGGAACACCAAUUGCGAAGGCAGCUCGCUGGGACGCUACUGACGCUGAGACGCGAAAGCGUGGGGAGCAAACGGG